ensembl:ncRNA T23E1.5 ncRNA
UGGACACAGUCCAUUUGCAUUUUUCUCACUACAGUUUCUCAUAUACCUAGUUCUCUCCCUCACCCACCCUCACCUCGCCCAGAAAUUGAUCCGAUUUGUGCGCGAAAUUUAACACCCUC